UAAUGUAUGGGGAUCUGCCCGAUAGAGGGGGAUAACUACUGGAAACGGUGGCUAAUACCGCAUAAUGUCUACGGACCAAAGCAGGGGCUCUUCGGACCUUGCGCUAUCGGAUGAACCCAUAUGGGAUUAGCUAGUAGGUGGGGUAAAGGCUCACCUAGGCGACGAUCUCUAGCUGGUCUGAGAGGAUGAUCAGCCACACUGGGACUGAGACACGGCCCAG
rnacentral:rRNA from 1 species